rnacentral:rRNA from 1 species
UGGGGAAUAUUGGACAAUGGGCGAAAGCCUGAUCCAGCCAUGCCGCGUGUGUGAAGAAGGUCUUCGGAUUGUAAAGCACUUUAAGUUGGGAGGAAGGGCAGUAAGCGAAUACCUUGCUGUUUUGACGUUACCGACAGAAUAAGCACCGGCUAACUCUGUGCCAGCAGCCGCGGUAAUACAGAGGGUGCAAGCGUUAAUCGGAAUUACUGGGCGUAAAGCGCGCGUAGGUGGUUCGUUAAGUUGAAUGUGAAAGCCCCGGGCUCAACCUGGGAACUGCAUCCAAAACUGGCGGGCUAGAGUAGGGCAGAGGGUGGUGGAAUUUACUGUGUAGCGGUGAAAUGCGUAGAUAUAGGAAGGAACACCAGUGGCGAAGGCGACCACCUGGGCUCAUACUGACACUGAGGUGCGAAAGCGUGGGGAGCAAACAGG